GCGGGGGUCGCUCGGGCCGCCGGUGGCGCGGCUCCUCGGUCCCGCGCGCGCGGCGCUUGGUUUUCUGGCCGGAGCCGCUUUUCUUCCGGGAGCUCCGCAGAGCGACUCCCCGGCGUAGCCGAUGGGAGCCUCUUCUGGAGCGCGGAAAGCCGAAGGGCCCGGCCCGGCGUUCUCCCGCGACCGGGACCCCCGCGUUUUUUCCCCCGCGGCAGCUCCGAGCAGACCCGGCGCCUCUUUCCAGCCAACGGAGGUGGAGGCCCGGGGCGGUGGAGCCGAGGCAGAGGGGCAGCCCCAGCGCUUCUCCCAGCUCGAUCCGGCCAAACGCUCCCUCUCCAGCGUCCCCCCCGCCGCCCGGCAAGAAAUGUGAUACAGCAUGUAAAUCCUGGAGAACUCGAGUCCUCAGUCUCCUUGGUAUGGUACACAUGAGCCAUGGUGGUGCAGUGGAAUAUUGCAGGCUACUUCCGCUGACUGAAUCUCACCAGGCUCAAGGUUGACUCAGCCUUCCAUCCUUCGGAGGUGGGUAAAAUGAGGAGCCGGAUUGCUGACUCUGUAAACCGCUUAGAGAGGGCUGUAAAGCCCUGUGAAGCGGUAUAGAACUCUUAAGUGCUAUUGCUAUUGCAUAUAUGUCCUCAGUUGAUGACUUCUUGUUACAAUGCUGAUUUGUUAUUAAAGGGUUAUAGGAUUUGUCUACAAUGAAGACAGGAGAAUCGGGGAUGAUCCAGUGCCUCCUUAUCCCUCCCUCUCUACAGUAAAGGACAGGCUCAGCUUAUGAGAGUAACAGAGUUUUGACAACUCUCCUGUCAUGUUUUUCACACCAUGAAAAAUGAUGCCAGUUUCUCCCUUGGAGUUCUUUUGCCUCUCGGUCCGUUAGAGCCUCCAUUAAGGCAAACUGCAGAGCUCGCCCCUCCCAUCAUCUGGGGGUGACAGAUUGGGGGUUCAGCCAUCUUUGGAAAAAUUAAAAAGUCACUUGGACCUUGCACACAAGCAUGGGGGGCAUUUGGCAGACGGCUUUAUGACAACCAAGCGGUCCACAAGAGAGAAAGAUCCAUCGCCCGAGUGAAGGGAAGGAGGGAGCUUUUGGGUGGAGAAGCAGGGGAGGGUUUUCUGUACUUCCCACCAAUGGCUGAACAGGGUUCUAAAAGGAGGUUGCAGAUGGAGAUGCAGCAGAAUUCUGGGAGCUGAAAUCCACAAGGCUUCCAAUUGCCACAGCUACAGACCCCUGCCCUACCCACUACCCUACACCUGAUCCACUUCACUCAUGACGGGGAAGGGAAGAGCAGUUAGCUGAAGGUCCUGCUGAUGAGAUUCCCAAAGCAGACCAGCCGUGGUUAGAAACCAUGGCAGCCUGGUAUCUUCCACCACCGCCAGCCCUUAUUCCGAUCCUGCUAGCAGCCUGCCCUACAUUUGAGUAGCCUUCGACCCUUCUGCUGCUUGUUACACUACAUGUAUUGCUUCAAAAAGAAAAAAAAAGGCAUCACAAUUCUGACAUUUGGAAAAGGGGGAAAAACAUUUUAUAUAUAAGUAUCAGUUUCACAGCCUUAAAGUUGGAGGGAAUGUUUGCAUUUAUAGAAAAAUAAUAAUAAUAAACCAGAAGAUUUAAGUUUUAAACUGCGUGUA
rnacentral:lncRNA from 1 species